AUAGUUUCUUGGCCUUUCUGCUAAGAUCAAGUGUAGUAUCCAUUCUUAUCAGCUUAAUAUCUGAUAUGUGCUCUAUCUGAAAAUACUAUAUUAAGUGGAUUUUUAGAGUAGGGGGUUGAUAUAGGAGCUUGUGCUAUCCACUUGGUGUACUGACCUGGUAUUGCAAUGCUUCCAGGAAUGGUGUACCUCCU
ensembl:snRNA U2 U2 spliceosomal RNA